rnacentral:rRNA from 1 species
UACGGGGGGGGCAAGCGUUGUUCGGAAUUACUGGGCGUAAAGGGCUCGUAGGCGGCCAACUAAGUCAGACGUGAAAUCCCCAGGCUCAACCUGGGAACUGCGUCUGAUACUGGAUGGCUUGAAUCCGGGAGAGGGAUGCAGAAUUCCAGGUGUAGCGGUGAAAUGCGUAGAUAUCUGGAGGAAUACCGAUGGCGAAGGCAGCCCCCUGGGAUAACACUGACGCUCAUGCACGAAAGCGUGGGGAGCAAACAGG